UAGGGAAUCUUCCACAAUGGGCGCAAGCCUGAUGGAGCAACACCGCGUGAGUGAAGAAGGGUUUCGGCUCGUAAAGCUCUGUUGUUAGAGAAGAACGUGCGUGAGAGUAACUGUUCACGCAGUGACGGUAUCUAACCAGAAAGUCACGGCUAACUACGUGCCAG
rnacentral:rRNA from 1 species